rnacentral:lncRNA from 1 species
UUGCAGCUUCCCCUUGGAGGGUUUCAACCGAAUGGACCAUAAGAACCUAUGUCCAAUCCUCUCGAGCCCGAUUGCAAUUUCUUUCAACUGAGCUUCAUCAAAGCCUCCUCCACUCCCGAAGCACAAGAACACCACUGAUUUUUCAGGUUGAUCAUCAAGCCAUUUCAAGAUCUCGUCACGCUUGACGGCAUCAGAUCCUGACAGACUCUUUCCCUUGUGAUCAAUCAAUGGCCCAACAUUGAAAAUAGGUGGUAUAUCAUCUCUAGCCAAAAGAGCACUAACUGCAUGGGACUCAGCUUCUGAAAAUGUAUUAACAAUGAUACCGUUGGAGUCCUUAAACUCUCUUCCAUGGUUUGCCAAAGCCUCAUAUUCCACAUCGGUGUGCAAUACCGGCAUAACACGGUAAGGCACGGGAUUUGAAUAACAGGGGAUGAUAUAGUCAGGGUCAGUAGGGCUAAACUUAGGCUCACCCUUGUCUUCUCUAUCUGAAAGGUAAAGCGUCAUGGCAAGAAAGGCAGCAUCAGAAGUGAAAAAAACAUGAGAAGGGACACCAAGUUCUUUUGCAACAUCAAUAAAUACAGUGCAAAACAUAUCAACAACAACACUAGCAAUUGGUGCAGGGUUGUGGGCCAUGACUAGGUUAACAAUAGUAUCUUUCACAAGGGUUUUGUGAUCAUUGAUGUAAGAAGUAAAAGCACUUGCAGGGCUUACAGCUAAAGCUUCUGGAGGAGGUGUAGGUAUGGUAUCAGGAAUUUCGACGAACCUGAUUUCUGUAUGAAUUGAAGCAAGCGAUUCGGUGUUCUUGCUUAUGCCACCGUAAAAUGGAUUGUUGAUGGCAAGCAUGGUUAUCAAGAAACUGUCGUUUCUCUCAAGAACCAUCUUUGCUAACUGAACAGCUGCUACAAGGUGGCCAAAUCCAGGUGCAGGGACAAAGACUAGCUGUGUUUUCUUCAUUUUGGAGGUUUUGAAUGUUCAAUAUGGUGAUCCUUGUUUGCUUUAUAAGGGGCUCAAGGUCAAUGCCACAAUGCCAGCUGUUAUGAUUUUUUUUUUCUCUAAAUUAAUCAUCAAAUUGGAUAUGACAAUUAUUAUUACAAAGAUUGAUUUCAUAGAAAAAUUUUCCUGUAAUAUUUUUAAACAAUUCAAAUUAAAUAAAAGAAAAGAAAGCUAGGUUUCAUUUUAUUUUGAAGUUAUAUUUUUAAUAUAUAUAUAUAUAUAUAUAUAUAUAUAUAUAAACUAAACUAAACUAAAAAUAUUAUUUUAUUUUUAAUAAAUAAAAUUAAAUAAAUAUAUUUGUUUAACAACAUUCAUCUAUCCCAUAAGAUAUCAUUUAUCUUUAUUACAAAAAAUUAUAGAUGAUUUACUAGAAUGAUUUAAUUAAGUAUAACUUGAUUAAAAUAUAUAAUAGAAAUUAAGGAUUAGAAUAUAAUUAAUACAAGGAUUAUAUUUCUAUAUCUAGAAAAAUCAAGUAAGGAUUUAAUUGAUUAUAUUUUUAAAAUUACCCUUACAUAAUAUAUGGAUAUUUUUAAAAUUAUCUUUACAUAAUAUAUGGAUAUUAUUUAAAGGCAAAUAUAUAUAUAUAAUCAUUUAUACGGUUUUGAGAUUUUCUAUAAUUAUAAAGUUAAGCCUAUUAUUUUGUAAGUAAAAAAAUAAUGAUUGUCUAUUUUAUAAAAAAACUACGUAAAAACAAUAUUAGAGCUAGCACUCUAGGCAUAACAAUCUCUCUUUUCUAAAUAGAGAUUUAAGAGAUUUCUCACGGGUAGUUUGUAUGGAUUAUCAUUAGAGACCGAAUAAUUUAACGAUUUGUGGUUUGCGACAACCCAACUUUUAAAGAAUAAUUUAAAAUAAAUAAAUUAAAUAUUCAAAUAAUAAAUCUUUAAAUAAUUUUAAAUCUAAUCUACAUGAUAUAAGAACAACUUAAUAUAUUCAAUCAUGCGAAUUCUUUGUAGUUUUUAAUGUAUCAAAAUGGAUUUAAUAAUACCUUACUAUUAAAAAGAAGAAGAAGUCAACAACAAUGAUUGAUUGUGAUUGCAUUUAAUAGCUAGACAGUUACAUGGCUAGAAAGAAUCCAAAGAUAAUAUAUAAUAAAUGGCAAUUUCGUAGGAAUUGCUGAAGUGUUAAAUUGUGGAUGAAGUUUUUGAUGAAUUUUUAUUUUAUUCUAUUGUACUUUUCAUCAUUGGUAGUUAUUUAUGAAAAUAUUAUAUCACUAUUUAUAUCAAAAUUAUUGACGCAAAAAUUCUAUCACUGUUAUCUUCUAAAAUUAUUGAUGAAAAAUUUAUCAUUGACAUUUCUGAUUUUAUUUAUUAAUUUUCUGGUAAUAAUAAUAAUCUUAUGCUCAGAUUUAUAAUUUUAUAAUUUAAAAAAUAGAAUUGAUAUCUGAAACUUAAAAGAAGAUUAAACCUUUCAUUUUUUAAUUAUAUGAAGUAUUGAUAAUACAACUAAUCAAACAUAAACUAACAAUCAUUUAAACAAAAUUUAAGAAUUUAUGGUAGAAUUGCAUAAAUUAAUUUUAAAAAUUACUUUUUAUAAAUUUUUAUCAAGUAAUUCUACAAUCAAUUCCUAAAGCCUAACAAUCAUUUAAACAAAAUUUAAAAAUUGAGGAUAGAAUUACUUAAUUGGUAAAAAAUUAUGAAAAUAAGCGAACUUUGCUAAAAUCAUGUAUAUUCAUCCUUAUGAUUAAAUGACAUUUAAAUGUCUAAAGUAAAGAAUACCUUCAUCUAGCCAAAACAAAAUUCAGGGAUCUUCUACAAUGAAGACGCUAUCGUUUCAUGCACACAUCAUAUAUAAACGAGAAAUUCAAAUCAACAUAAUAUAUAUAUAUAUAUAUAUAUAUAUAUAUAUAUAUAUAUAUAUAUAUAUAUAUAUAUAUAUGUCCAACUAUUCUAAUGGCACUAAUUUUCAACUACUAAUGAAAAAAAAUAUUAAAAAGUAAUUUUUUAUAUUUUUUAAAUUAAUUUAGAUAUUAAUUAAAAUAAAGUAUACAAUAUUAAGAUUAUUCAAAAUGUUAGUCUCACUUCAUGCAUAAACUAAUAUGAGCUUAUCUUUUAAUGUAUCAUGAAUGAUUUUAUUUUAUUGGUGUGGGUUUUUUUUAUAUAAUUCUGGAUAUUUUAACUACUUUAUGUGUAACUCAAUUAAGUUUUUAAAAUUCUAAAUUUUACAACCAUGUAAUGUGUAUUGAUGGGGCAGGCAGGGAGGUGACUGUUUCUGGAGGGACGGGUGCUUGUAAAUUGGAUAGUGAGGGGUCGACAAGCCAUGGCCAUAAGCAAAAAGAUAAAGGACGAGGAGGGAGAAAAAAAAAUUGUGCAUAAUUUGUGGAGCACGGUGGGACAGGGAUAAUAAUUUAAUAUGAGACUUUUGAAUAUUAACCGAAAACCUACUUCUUUAUUGAAUAUUCAAAAAAAAUAAACCAAAAUGAUACAUUUAUUUAUAUAUAUAUAAUAAAAAAAAACACACACACGGAUAUAUCCAUAUAAAUACCAAACAUUACCGGAAUUAAUAAUUUUAGAGACAAUAUUUUUUUUUUGUUAGUAUUUAUACCAACAAUCCAUUGGUAUAAAAUUUAUCGAUAAAUUUAUAAAAAGAAUUCAUUUGCUAGUAAAAAAAAAACACCAAUGUUUUUACAAAUAAAAAGUUUGUAUAAAAGAAAUCACUUGUUUUAAUACUUUAAUGGAAUUAUUUUGUUAGUGAUUGAUAAUGGUAUUUAUUGUAAUUUUAUUUCAAUUCUUUAUAAAAUAUUAAUGGAAUUAUUUUCAUUCAUGAUGUAAUAAUAUUGAAGUGACAUAUAAAGUAAAUUGUUCCCCUUACCUUUGGAAUAUAUUGAGUUACUACGGGUUGUGUCCAUUGAUACAUCCGUCUGCAAGAGUUAAAAAAAUGCCCUUUUCUUUUAGUACAAUUAUGUUUUUUGUUAGUUUUUAUUUUUCACAUUCUAACCCUGGCGCCAUUAGAAAAAGAUAUGUCUCCACCACAAAACUAGGCAAAAAUAUGACGGGGUGCCUUUAAGUUUGUAUUUCAUGGCUAUGAUCUAAAUCUGGUUUGCCAAAAACUUCGUGAGCAAAGUAAAAUUGGCGUAACAACUGAAUUUAGGCCAAGUUUCAAAUUUUUGUUUACUUUUCUGAAAGUUUUGAUUUAUGGUUUCCAAUUUUCCAAGUCAAAUUUAUGGUUGAUACAAACUAAGCAAGGUAAUUUAAGAAGUUUUUUGCAAAACACGAGAAGGGACCCCAAGUUCUUUUGCAACAUCAAUAAAGGCAGUGCAAAACAUAUCAACAACAACACUAGCAAUUGGUGCAGGGUUGGGGGCGCCAUGACUAGGUUAACAAUAGUAUCUUUCACAAGGGUUUUGUGAUCAUUGAUGUAAGAAGUAAAAGCACUUGCAGGGCUUACAGCUAAAGCUUCUGGAGGAGGUGUAGGUAUGGUAUCAGGAAUUUCGACGAACCUGAUUUCUGUAUGAAUUGAAGCAAGCGAUUCGGUGUUCUUGCUUAUGCCACCGUAAAAUGGAUUGUUGAUGGCAAGCAUUGUUAUUGAAGAAACAAAGAGAAAGAAGAAUCUUAUUUUCAUAUCAAUUCUGUUAGAGCAGCAUAGGUAUGUAUACAAUGGAUACGAUGGAUUUCUGUUACAGCAGAGAAAGAUGACUAUUAAUUCUCCUACAUUCAUGGUCAUAUCAGAAUCUGUCUCUAUUUACUACUAUCCUAUCAAUUGUAUACAGAGCAAUAGCAAUAUUGCAGUAGGGAGCAAGUUCUGCAACUGGUGUUGGAGUUAAACUAAAACUCUGCAAUUUGUUUUGGAGCCGGACUCUGCAAUGUGAUCUAUAGUAGGACUUUGCAAUCGUGUUAGAGUGAGAAUCUGUUGCUUUCCUUCAUUACUCCCCCUCAAGCUGGAUUAAGGGGGUUGAUUGAGUCAGGUUUGGAUAAUAGACGAUAGAAGUGAGCUGAAGUUAGAACCUUUAUAAAUACAUCAGCUAGUUGAUGGUGACUGUGGAUGUAACAUGGUUUGAUAAUCUGCGAUAGAAUUUAUUGACGAAUAAAAUGAUAAUCAACUUUAAUGUGUUUAGUUUUUUGGUGAAAUACAUAAUUAGUUGUAAUAUGCAUAGCAACUUGAUUAUCACAAAACAUAGUCAAUGGAAUAUUGCUAGAAAAUUCCAGAUCUGACAGAAAACCUUUAAGCCAAAUUAAUUCACAAGCUGCGAACAUCAUCACAUGAUAUUCAGCUUUAGCACUAGAACGUGCACCAACAUGUUGCUUUUACUACGCUAGGCGACUGAAUUACCACCAAUAAACAUGCAAAAACCAGUGGUUUCUUAACAUAGCUAUGCAACAGAUAACACUCUGUGAGAUCAAAACGUUUUAGAAACAUGCAUGUGUAUUAUUAAAGCUCUAGUUUUUUCUAAAAGUCUCUGUUUUUACAUUCAGCUAUUUUAUUUUGUUGAGGUGUGCCAACAUAGUUGGAAUAGACCCUUGGAUGGUGGUUUCUGAAUGGAUCAUAAGAACUUUUGCGCACUCUAUUCGAGCCCAUUUGUUAUGUCUUUUAAUUGAGGUUCACCAAAGUAUGUGGUUUGCUAACUUAACUGCUGACACAAGAUGACAAUUUUUUGCUGCAGGAAUUAACACUAGCUGUGGUUUCUUCAUUCCAAUAAUAACUGUAGGAAAAAGGUGAAUGUUAAGUUUGUCGGUAUAAGAUCCAAUCUAGUUUGACAGGUUAAUUUGAUGAUUCAUUUAUUCAAAAUUUAGCUUGAUAGGUUAACUUGGUGACCAGGUCAACACAAUGAUUCACUGACUCUGAGCUUGGCUUGGCUGAGUUAGCAAAAAAACCAAGUAUAUUUUAUUUACCAAAACAACGAUGUUGUUUAAGUUUUUUUUUUAAAAAAAAAAGCUUGGGAUGAAUUGAAUCAAACCAUCAAUCUACAGCCCCACCUUGCGUAGAGUAGACUCCUCAGUCAAGUAUUAUAAUUAUGGUUAUGUGUGAACUAUAAAAUAGAAAGAAAUGACAAGUUGAUCUCUCUUUAGAAAAAAGGAAGAUGAAUUGCCUACGGUAGUGAAGAAUUCAUGUCUAACUUAUAUAGCUGGGUUAGUUGUGGAUUUUUCAUGACUAAACUACGUGGAUUGUCUAACAGAGUUAUUUAUUGAUCAACAAGACAUGGCUAAGUUCAAGAAGAGGCUUGGGCUAAGUACAGUGCUCGGUUUGACAAAAAAAAUCCCAUAAUUCUUCAUAUAUUCUUUUAAUCACUCACAAAUUUAGUUAGGAAAUUCCAAAGAUUGAGACCCAAAAAUUCUUUAAAUUAGGCUUAGAAGGAGCUCAUCAAGUUAGAUUUGUUAUUUUUUAUUAUUAUUUUAAACUUUUUAGUUUGGUUAGAACUUUUAUUGCUUGGUAUUUUAUGAUUAGGACUUUUAGUUUCAUUUCUUGUUUACGUCAAUUUUUUAUAUUUAUUUAAAUAAUUAUAAAUAUAUUAAAAGAUACAAACUAUUGAAGAGAAAAUAUGCAGUAAUAAAUUUUUAAAUUAAAAUUUUUAUGUCGGUAUUCUACAAAAUUUAACGGGUUUGUGUUUCAUGUUUUUUUUUUUAUUAUUAUUAUUAUCCCCCGCAUCACUUACUUCCAAAUGAUGGUGUGAUAGCUGAAGCCAAUCAGUGAUGAUCUACUGGUGGAGGAAGCAAAUAUCACUUGCUUUUGUGUGGGGUGAAGAACAAGAUGCAUACCCCCUCGCACGUCACUACACAUGUAAGCAAGUUGGCAUUUGUUGGUGUGAUAGAUUUUAAUGCUAUAAAACAAAAGGAAGAAAAGAAAAGAAAAGGUGCGGUCAUUCCAUAAGGCCUCAACGUUAAUUAACUUCAUCAGAACUAAUUAAUGUUGGAUAGGAAAUAGAUCACUACAACAUGACCAAAUCAAACAAACUAUAUAUAUAUAUGAUAAUGACUUUAACUUAAUUUAAUUUGAGGAAUGAAAUUAAGCCACAGUAGGAAUUGAUGAUCAUUGAUGGAAUCAACAUGGUAGAUAAGGCUUAAGCUCUUCGAGGUUUGCUUCCUAACCAUUGAUCAAUCAAGUUUCCAAAAGCAACAUACGAAGAUCCACCCUCCAUCACAGCUUUCUUCGCCAUUUCACUGGUUUCUUUGGCCUUGUUCCUAAGUUCACCACCAUGUUCCAUCACGGUUUUCACAGCUUUUGUUAUCACCUCCGCCUUCACAAAAUCUGUAGGACAAUCUCUCCUAAAAUCCAACGUCAAUUCCACUGCUAAUCCCAAGUCUUUCACCAGCUGAAAUGCAUUCAUGUGUUGCUCAGCAUGCAAUGGCCAAGUUAUAAUAGGCACAGCAUACCACAAGGUCUCCAAAGUUGAGUUCCAUCCACAGUGUGAUACGAAAGCGCCUACUGCUUUAUGUGCCAAGAUUUCUACUUGUGGUGCCCAUCCACAUAGCAUCCCAAUAUUUUUAGUUCUUUCCAAGAAUCCCUGUGGCAAGAUCUCUCCAUAGUUGUCAAAAAAACUAGCUUGCAGCUUCCCCUUGGAGGGUUUCAACCGAAUUGACCAUAAGAACCUCUGUCCACUCCUCUCGAGCCCGAUUGCAAUUUCUUUCAACUGAGCUUCAUCAAAGCAUCCUCUACUCCCGAAGCACAAGAACACCACUGAUUUUUCAGGUUGAUCAUCAAGCCAUUUCAAGAUCUCGUCACGCUUGACGGCAUCGGAUCCUGACAGACUCUUUCCCCUGUGAUCAAUCAAUGGCCCAACAUUGAAAAUAGGUGGUAUAUCAUCUCUAGCCAAAAGAGCACUAACUGCAUGGGACUCAGCUUCUGAAAAUGUAUUAACAAUGAUACCGUUCGACUCCUUAAACUUUCUUCCAUGGUUUGCAAUAGCCUCAUAUGCCACAUCGGUGUGCAAUAACGGCAUAACACGGUAAGGCACGGGAUUUGAAUAACAGGGGAUGAUAUAGUCAGGGUCAGUAGGGCUAAACUUAGGCUCACCCUUGUCUUCUCUAUCUGAAAGGUAAAGCGUCAAGGCAAGAAAGGCAGCAUCACAAGUGUAAAAAACAUGAGAAGGGACCCCAAGUUCUUUGGAAACAUCAAUAAAUGCAGUGCAAAACAUAUCAACAACAACACUAGCAAUUGGUGCAGGGUUGUGGGCCAUGACUAGGUUAACAAUAGUAUCUUUCACAAGGGUUUUGUGAUCAUUGAUGUAAGAAGUAAAAGCACUUGCAGGGCUUACAGCUAAAGCAUCUGGAGGAGGUGCAGGUAUGGUCUCAGGAAUUUCGAUGAACCUGAUUUCUGUAUAAAUUGAAGCAAGCGAUUUGAUUUUCUUGCUUAUGCCACCGUCAAAUGGAUUGUUGAUGGCAAGCAUGGUUAUCAAGAAACUGUCGUUUCUCUCAAGAACCGUCUUUGCUAACUGAACAGCUGGUACAAGGUGGCCAAAUCCAGGUGCAGGGACAAAGACUAGCUGUGUUUUCUUCAUUUUGGAGGUUUUGAAUGUUCAAUAUGGUGAUCCUUGUUUGCCUUAUAAUGGGCUCAAGGUCAACGCCACAAUGCCAGCUGUUAUGAUUAUUUUUUUUCUAAAUUAAUCAUCAAAUUGGAUGACAAUUAUUACAAAGAUUGAUUUCAUAGAAAACUUUUCUUGUAAUAUUUUUAAACAAUUCAAAUUAAAUAAAACAAAUUAUAAAUAUAAAAGAAAAGAAAGCUAGGGUUUCAUUAAUCAUUUUAUUUUGAAGUUAUAUUUUUAAUCUAUAUAUAUAUAUAUAUAUAUAUAUAUAUAUAUAUAUAAACUAAACUAAAAAUAUUAUUUUAUUUUUAAUAAAUAAAAUUAAAUAAAUAUAUUUUUUAACAACAUUCAUCUAUCCCGUAAGAUAUUAUUUAUCUUUAUUAAAAAAACAUUGUAGAUGAUUUAUUAGGAUAAUUUAAUUAAGUAUGACUUGAUUAAUAUAUAUUUUAGAAAUUAAAAAUUAAAAUAUAAUUAAUAUAAGAAUUAUAUUUGUAAACCUAAAAAAAUCAAGUAGGGACUUAAUUGAUUAAAUUUUUAAAAUUACCCUUAAAUAAUAAAUGGAUAUUAUUUGAGGGCAAAUAUAUAUAUUUUAUCAUUUAAACGGUUUUAGGAUUUUAUUAUCAAUAUAUAUAGCUAAGCCUAUUAUUUUGUAAGUAAAAAAUGAUGGUUGUCUAUUAGAUAGAAAAACUAUGUAAACACAAUAUUAGAGCUAGUACUCUAAGCAUAACAAUCUCUCUUUUCUAAAUAGUGAUUUAAGAGUUUUCUCACAAGUAGUUUGUAUGAAUUAUCAUUAAAAAUCAAAUAAUUAAAUGAUUUUUAGUUUGUGACAACCCAACUUUUAAAGAAUAAUUUAAAAUAAAAAAAUUAAAUAUUCAAAUAAUAAAUCUCUAAAUAAUUUUAAAUCUAAUCUAACAUGAUAUAAGAAAUAAUAUCCCGGUAGUGUGAGUUUGUGUGUAUUGACAACUUAAUAUAUUCAAUCAUGCGAAUUCUUUGUAGGUGUUAUGGUUUCAAAUUGAGGAAGGACGUAGUUUUUAAUUAAUGUAUCAAAAUUGAUUUAAUAAUACCUUACUAUUAAAAAGAAGAAGAAGUCAACAACAAUGAUUGAUUGUGACUGCAUUUAAUAGCUAGAUAGUUACAUGGCUAGAAAGGAUCCAAAGAUAAUAUAUACAUGAUGAUAUUCUGUUUAAAUUUAUUAAAUGGCAAUUUCGUAGGAAUUGCUGAAGUGUUAAAUUGUGGAUGAAGUUUAAUUUGAUGAAUUUUUAUUUUUAUUUUUAUUUUAUUCUAUUGUACUUUUCAUCAUUGGUAGUUAUUUAUGAAAAAUAUUAUAUCACUAUUUAUAUCAAAAUUAUUCACACAAAAAUUCUAUCACUAUUAUCUUCUAAAAUUAUUGAUGAAAAAUUUCUCAUUGGCAUUUCUGAUUUUAUUUAUUAAUUUUCUGGUAAUAAUAAUAAUCUUAUGCUUAGGUUUAUAAUCCUAUAAUUUAAAAAAUAGUAUCGAUACCUGAAACUUAAAAGAAUAUUAAACCUUCCAUUUUUAAUUUAUAUGAAAUAUUGAUAAUACAACUAAUCAAACAUAAACUAACAAUCAUUUAAACAAAAUUUAAGAAUUGAUUGUAGAAUUACAUAAAUUAAUUUUAAAAUUUUUAAAAAUUACAUUUUAUAAAUUUUUACCAAGUAAUUCUACCAUCAAUUCCUAAACCUAACAAUCAUUUAAACAAAUUUUAAGAAAUGAUGAUAGAAUUACUUGGUAAACUUUUAUGAAAAUAAGCAAACUUUCUUAAUAAUCAUAUAUAUUCAUCCUUCUGAUUAAAUGACACUUAAAUGUUUAAAGUAAAAAAUACCUACAUUUAACAAAACAAGAUUCAAGGUUCUUUUACAAUGAAGACGCUAUCGUUUCAUACACAUAUUAUAAACGAGAAAUCCAAACCAACAAGAUCAAAAAAUAAAAUAUAUACAUAAACUUUCGAGUCAAAAUAUUAUAUUUUUAAAAGAGAGAAUACAAACAAUGUUAGUCCAUUUAAAGCUAUCACAUGCCCAACUAUUCUAAUGGCUCUAAAUUUCAACUCUAAUGAAAAACAAAAUAUUAAAAAAUAAUUUUUUAUAUAUUUUAAAUAAAUUUAGGUAGUAAUUAAAAUAAAGUAUACAAUAUUAAGAUUAUUCAAAAUGUUAAUCUCACAUCAUGCAUAAACUAAUAUGAGCUUAUCUUUUAAUGUAUCAUGAAUGAUUUUAUUGGUGUGGUUUUUUUUUUCCUUACAUUACAUGUAUCUCAAUUAAUUUUUUAAAAUUCUAAAUUUUACAACCAUGUAAUGUAUUGAUAGGGCAGGCAGUGAGGUGACUGUUUCUAGAGGGACGGGUGCUUGUAAAUUGGAUAGUGGCCAUAAGCAAAAAAUAAAGGACGAGGAGAGAGAGAAAAAAGUUGUGCAUAAUUUGUGUAACAUGUGAUGGUGGGACAGGGAUAAUAAUCAUAUAUAUAUAUAUAUAUAUAUAUAUAUAUAUAUAUAUAUGCGUAUGUGUAUUUUUAAAAAAAUAUCAUAUUAUUUUUUUAAAUAUAUUCAAUAAAUAAGUAGGCUUCGGUUAAUAUUCAAAAGUCUCAUGUUAAAUUAUUAUCCCUGUCCCACCAUUUUACACAAAUUAUGCACAACUUUUUUUCUUUCUCCUCGUCCUUUAUCUUUUUGCUUAUUGCCGUGGCUUGUCGAUCCCUCACUGUCCAAUUUACACGCACCCGUCUCUUUUAAAACAGUUCUUUUAAAUUUUAAUGGCAAUAGGUAAAUGAUUAGAUUUUAGAUUUAUUUUCUAAAAUUAUUUAUUUAGUUUUUAUAAAUUUUAGAAUGAUUGAAGGUUUAUAUGGUCGUUAAUUUCAGAGUUUCUAGAAUUAAUCAAGAUAGACACAAACUGACUCACACAUCAAUAUUAAUAAUAAUAAAAAAUGGUAUUAGGUGGUGUGAUAGAUUUUAAUGCUAUAAAACAAAAGGAAGAAAAGAAAGAAAAAGGUACGGUCAUUCCAUAAUAAGGCCCCAACUUUAAUUAACUUCAUCAGAACUAAUGUUGGAUAGGAAAUACAUCACUUCAACAUGACCAAAUCAAACAAACUAUAUAUAUGAUAAAGACUAUAACUUAAUUUGAGGAAUGGAAUUAAGCCACAGUAGGAAUUGAUGAUCAUUGAUGGAAUCAACAUGGUAGAAAGGCCUAAGCUCUUCAUGGUUUGCUUCCUAACCACUGAUCAAUCAAGUUUCCUAAAGCAACAUACGAAGAUCCACCCUCCAUCACAGCUUUCUUCGCCAUUUCACUGGUUUCUUUGGCCUUGUUCCUAAGUUCACCACCUUGUUCCAUCAUGGUUUUCACAGCUUUUGUUAUCACCUCCGCCUUCACAAAAUCUGUAGGGCAAUCUCCCCUAAAAUCCAACGUCAAUUCCACUGCUAAUCCCAAGUCUUUCACCAGCUGAAAUGCAUUCGUGUGUUGCUCAGCAUAUAAUGGCCAAGUUAUAAUAGGCACAGCAUACCACAAGGCCUCCAAAGUUGAGUUCCAUCCACAGUGUGAUACGAAAGCGCCUACUGCUUUAUGUGCCAAGAUUUCUACUUGUGGUGCCCAUCCACAUAGCAUCCCAAUAUUUUUAGUUCUUUCCAAGAAUCCCUGUGGCAAGAUCUCUCCAUAGUUGUCAAAAAUACUAGCUUGCAGCUUCCCCUUGGAGGGUUUCAACCGAACGGACCAUAAGAACCUCUGUCCACUCCUCUCGAGCCCGAUUGCAAUUUCUUUCAACUGAGCUUCAUCAAAGCAUCCUCUACUCCCGAAGCACAAGAACACCACUGAUUUUUCAGGUUGAUCAUCAAGCCAUUUCAAGAUCUCGUCACGCUUGACGGCAUCGGAUCCUGACAGACUCUUUCCCUUGUGAUGAAUGAUCAAUGGCCCAACAUUGAAAAUAGGUGGUAUAUCAUCUCUAGCCAAAAGAGCACUAACGGCAUGGGACUCAGCUUCUGAAAAUGUAUUAACAAUGAUACCGUUGGACUCCUUAAACUGUCUUCCAUGGUUUGCAAAAGCCUCGUAUUCCACAUCGGUGUGCAAUAACGGCAUAACACGGUAAGGCACGGGAUUUGAAUAACAGGGGAUGAUAUAGUCAGGGUCAGUAGGGCUAAACUUAGGCUCACCCUUGUCUUCUCUAUCUGAAAGGUAAAGCAUCGUGGCAAGAAAGGCAGCAUUAGAAGUGUAAAAAACAUGAGAAGGGACCCCAAGUUCUUUGGCAACAUCAAUAAAGGCAGUGCAAAACAUAUCAACAACAACACUAGCAAUUGGUGCAGGGUUGUGGGUCAUGACUAGGUUAACAAUAGUAUCUUUUACAAGGGUUUUGUGAUCAUUGAUGUAAGAAGUAUAAGCACUUGCAGGGCCUACAGCUAAAGCUUCUGGAGGAGGUGCAG